rnacentral:rRNA from 1 species
GACGAACGCUGGCGGCGUGCUUAACACAUGCAAGUCGAACGGGAGUAUUGAAGAAGCUUGCUUUAGAGAUACUUUAGUGGCGGACGGGUGAGUAACGCGUGAGGAGCUGUCCGAUGCAGGGGGACAACAGUUGGAAACGACUGCUAAUACCCCAUAAGCCGAGAGGUAAAAGGAUUUAUCCGGCAAUGGAGGUACUCGCGUCCUAUCAGCUAGUAGGUGAGGUAACGGCUCACCUAGGCGAAGACGGGUAGCCGGCCUGAGAAGGCGAACGGCCACACUGGAACAUAGAUACGGUCCAGACUCCUACGGGAGGCAGCAGUGGGGGAUAUUGUGCAAUGGGGGGAACCCUGACCCAGCGACGCCGCGUGGGUGAAGAAAUCCUUCGGGAUGUAAAGCCCUGUUGUAUGGGAAGAGCGGAAGACGGUACCAUACGAGGAAGCCCCGGCAAACUACGUGCCAGCCGCCGCAGUAA